rnacentral:rRNA from 1 species
UACGAAGGGGGCUAGCGUUGCUCGGAAUCACUGGGCGUAAAGCGCACGUAGGCGGCUUUUAAGUCAGGGUGAAUCCGUGGAGCUCAACUCCAGAACUGCCUUUGAUACUGGGAAGCUUGAGUCCGGAAGAGGUGAGUGGAACUCCGAGUGUAGAGGUGAAAUUCGUAGAUAUUGGGAAGAACACCGGUGGCGAAGGCGGCAACCUGGUCCUUGACUGACGCUGAGGCGCGAAAGCGUGGGGAGCAAACAGG